rnacentral:lncRNA from 1 species
GCGGCACCUCCCCUGUGAGUAAGGGAGGCUGGAUCUCAGGCUUGUUUGAGCACAGCUUUCCGUGCGUUAUCUUGGAGCAAGCGCGCAGGCUUCUUUAGCGCUUUUUUAUGCACUAAAGUUAUUUGCUCCUCAAGACGUUUCGAAGAGAGAAGAGGCAAAAAUCACUAAAGAGAAUGGAAGAAAGGCUUGAUCAUUUUGCAAGGCCCAUACUACAUGGCUGAGAAAUCAACUACUACAGGAGAGAAACUACUACAGGAGAAAAUCGACUACCACAGGAGCAAAACAGUGCAGUUUGACUCCUGCACUGUUCAAGCCUUCCUGAAAAGCAUACUUGGUCUCUAGCUGCGUCACCAUUUUGGCUGCUGGGGUCUGAUGAGCAACCUUGUGGAAGAAGAGACAGAAGCAGAUCCAAAGUGGUGGACGGAACUCUAAACUACAUUGAUUUUACUCUUGUAAUUUGAAUAUGACAAAAAAAGUAAUUCCAUACAGACAAGAGUACAUAAAAAAAUGAUUUAACAACUUUAUUAAAUAUAUUUGAUACACUAAACAAUUCAGUCAUUUAAAGUGUGCAUUUAAUUGGCUUUUAAUAAGUUCAUAGAUUUGUGCGACCAUCAGUGCAACCAAUUUCAGAGCAUUUCUUUUUUUUUUUUCAGGGUCGCAUCCACAGCAUAUGGAGGUUCCCAGGCUAGGGGUCUAAUUGGAGCUGUAGCCGCCAGUCUACGCCAGAGCCACAGCAACACUAGAUCCAAACCGUGUCUGUGACCUAUACCACAGCUCAUUGGCAAUGCUGGAGCCUUAACCCACCGAGCGAGGCCAGGGUCAAACCCACAAUCUCAUGGUUCCUAGUUGGAUAUGUUAUCACUGGGCCAUGACAGGAACUCCUCCCAAUUUCAGAGCAUUUCUAUAAUCCCCAAAAGAAACACUGUUACCCCUUAGAGGCACCCCUCAAAUCUACCAACAACUACCCCUGCCUUAAUUUCUUUCUCUGUAGACUUGCCUGUUCUGGACAUUCAUAUAAAUGGAAUCAUACAUU